rnacentral:rRNA from 1 species
GACGAACGCUGGCGGCGUGCUUAACACAUGCAAGUCGAACGGAAAGGCUCUGCUUUUGUGGGGUGCUCGAGUGGCGAAAGGGUGAGUAACACGAGAGUAACCUGCCCUUGACGUUGGGAUAACUUAAGGAGACUGGGGAUAAUACCGGAUAGGAGCUCCUGCCGCAUGAUGGGGGUUGGAAAGUUGCGGCGGUGGGAGAUGUAGUCGCGGCUUAUCAGCUUGAUGGUGGGGUAGUGGCUUACCAAGGCAGUGGCGGAUAGGCGACCUUAGAGGGUGACCGGCGACAAUGGGACUGAGAGACGGCGCAGAAUCCAACGGGAGGCAGAAGUGGGGAAUAUUACGGAAUGAGGGGGAGCGUGAUGCGGCGGCGCCGCGAGCGGAAUAACGGGCUGCGAGUGGUGAAACGCUUUCGCCUGUAACGUAGCGGGAGUGACGGUAAUGAGUAAGAAAGCACCGGCUAACUACGUG